UACGGGGGGAGCAAGCGUUGUUCGGAUUUACUGGGCGUAAAGGGCGCGUAGGCGGCGUGACAAGUCACUUGUGAAAUCUCCGGGCUUAACUCGGAGCGGCCAAGUGAUACUGUCGUGCUAGAGUGCGGAAGGGGCUACUGGAAUUCUCGGUGUAGCGGUGAAAUGCGUAGAUAUCGAGAGGAACACCUGCGGCGAAGGCGGGUUGCUGGGCUGAUACUGACGCUGAGGCGCGAAAGCCAGGGGAGCGAACGGG
rnacentral:rRNA from 1 species